AUAUUAAUACGAUUUAUACAAUAUUUUUAUUAAGUAUGAUGUUUAUUUUCCGACGGUACCAUUUUGUAGAAAACUAGUCAGGUAUUUCCUAAACUACUACUACUUAAAAUGUCAAUACAACAAAAAGACGAUCAGUUGUUUACAAUUUUCAUGACGUGCCUGAACUCCCUGAGUACGGCAUGUAAAUAUUGCAUCAAAUAAAAAAACUAGUGUUAUUCAUACUUUGUAGCCAAACACCACGAGCGUCCACCCUGACCCAUUAUGUACCUACCUAUUAUACACCUUAACGAAAUCAUAUCAUAAAAUUAUAGGGCAAACUAUUCAGUUUAGAAAAAUAACCGUCAAGUACGGGUCAGACUCUCGCAAGAAGAGUUCCGUACUAUAAUCAAUAUAUUUAGAUUCUUCAAUAUUUUUUGCCUACAGACAAUUCUUGUUUUUCAUAUUUGUUUACGUACGAAACAAAAAAUGCGGGUGGUGGUCCUCUGACCAUCCAUAAUACAUAUGCCAACAAGUAUUGAUUCUAUUCUAUUCUAUUCUCUGUGGGGGUGUAAGUACCUGCACCUAGUUCUCUCUAGUGGAGCUUUUGUGCAUCAACAAGGUCUAAACUGCCUUCCUAAGCUAGUCCGCUGCGAGUUGGUGGGUUCACAUAGGUAUCUAGAUGUGCUAAAUCUAGAUAUGCAGGUUUCCUCACGAUGUUUUCCUUCACCGUAUGAUGGUAUACAUUGUAUUUAAGUUAAAAGAACUAAUUGGUACAUGUCAGUGCCGGGAUUCGAACCCGCAUCUCUUGCGUGAGAAGCGGGCGCUUACCCGACUGAGCUAUGUACCACCGCUCCUUUAACAAGUAUGGAUAUUAUGGAUUCGAUAUCAAUUUGGAACAUACUAAGUUAUUCAAAUUUGAAGAAAUCCGUGGAAAAUAUGAAUACGAGCAAGUCUGUGUAUAUGAUAUUUUAUAUGCAGAUUGAUAAUACAACCAGGGCCAGUUAAUAUAAAUAAAAAAAUGCUGUUUAAACAGUUUACAGACAAUAAUAGCCUAAAUUAGCUUUAGGCAUUAAAAUUACGACUACAAUUUUUUUGUCUUGUUAAACUCUUUUCUUGAAGUAGGUACAUUUAACAGCGCAUCAGAUUAUUACCAACUAAAAACGUAAAUAUUUAUUUCAAAUUUCAA